AUGUCGAAGUUAACAAACUUUCUACUUUUUACACGCUGAUCGUCGCUGAACGUCAAAAACAUAACCUCAUUUUUCUAAUAUAGUUUGUAGUUGCAUAUUCCAUUAAAAAUGACUCCUGUGAGUAAAAAGCUGAUCGAAUUUGUAGGUGCUAAUUAGUGUUUAUAUAACAAACAAUCGGCUGGGUACAAGAAAAUUAAAAUUUGACAAAAUAUAGAGAAUCAUUUUCCCAUUUGAAAAUUAAAUGAAAAGAACUGGUGACUUCUUGAUCUAAUCAACAAUCAGGUUUUCCUUUUGAGUGUUUUGUUAAGUCUCUGCUCAGUAGAUAAUGUUUACUAGCGAACCAGCGUCAUGUUCGCUUUUUUUGUGCAGUUUUAAAUUUAUGAAUGUCUAGAGCGCAAAGCAAAAAGUUCACGUUCAUUCUGUGCAUCGCUUAACAUGCUUAACAUCGUGGUUAAGAUUUGCGAAUUUAUUUUUAUUUUACUUUUUUAUUGAUAACUGCAUUUUGGAUUAGAAUACAAUGAACUGAAUGAAUGCCUUAGUUUGUCAUUCCAUUUGAUCCACCUUAUCAAAGUGAGAACAGAUAUAUAAAGAAGCAACUUUCCUGAAAAAUUGACGGAAAUCGAAGUUAAGAGGAAAAAAAAUUGAUAUCUGGAAAAGGUUUUUUAAGAUUCGAUUAGUUGUAGAUGGCUAUAACUUUACUAAAGAGAAAGAAUCAAGCAAAACUUUAGUAAAUUUGAUUAAAAUAUGCCUCUGUACAUACAAUAGUCAUAAACAGUGAAAAUUCAACCAAAACAGUUGUGUGUAUAUUAUAAUUAAUUCCAAUGAGUUGUGUUCUAUGAAAAAUAUUUGCAGAAUAAAUAAUUUUAUCCAAAAAUUAGUAUGCAUCCAAUUAUGCUUAUAUUAAUACAACAAUUUACAACACACUCAUAAAUAGACAAAGUUUUGUGAAGGGUUAUCUAUAAAUAAUAAUUAAUGUUUUCCAAUUGACUAUAGAAGUAAUGACUGAAAUUAACUGUGAUUUAUAUUCUUGGUUAAAAUCCUUGAUUAUCAUGAGGUUUGAUUUUUUUGUCUCGUUAUUAGUGGCUUACUAGAGAUUAACAAUUAUCUUCUUUUGACAUAUUCAUGUUCAUUUGCUAAUUUAACAGAAAUAUAAGCGAAAAAUCACACCUCCAGACUGUAACCACUACUACACUAAACAAACAGUUUUGAACUGAUUCCAGUGAUUCUAUUUUCUUGAUCUCAAACAAUUUAUUGUAUCACCAACGAAGCUAGUGUUUCAUACGUCCAUAUCAGAUUAGGCAGCUUUUAUUUAGACCACAGAUAAGAACAUUAAAUAUUUGAAGUACAAAUAUUAAUGAUUAUCAAAAGAUACAAUGAAAUAAUAAGGACUGAGUGUACAAAAAUUUUUUCAAAAUUCCCAGUGGCUAAAUUGUAUAAAUUUGGAAGUGCACUUUAUAACUUCACAUUAUGAUGCUAAAUAACAUGACACAUAGUAACUUACUUUG